CCUUAUUCUUUCAGAAAAAGAUAAAUGGUGGCAAUUGUCCCUAUUAGGAUGGAGAAUAAUAAAAAGGAAAGCACUUCCUGGCUAAUUCCCAUCUCCAUAGAAACCGCUCAGCUCCCCACGCCUCUUGUCCCUAGCAUCAGUCAACAGCAUUUUCUGAUGUUAGGCCGUUGGAGCCAGGCGUCUGCCUUCUCUCAAACUGGGAUACCUCGAUGAUGAGUUGAAAGAACAAAAAGACUUGUGCCACAUUUUUAAAGGCCCCACUACAUCGCAUUUAAAUCCUUCCCGUAUUUUCUGUCUCAAGUUUCUAAGGAACUGUGUUUAAGAAAAUACAGACAUGGUGCCUUCAGACAAAGGAGAAAGAAACUAGAAAGCUGGGCUAGACAAAACAAAGGAGGAGCAUGGUUGGGACAGCGGCCACCACCACAGUGAGGGCUUCUUCAGCUCCAUAAGCACAUGUUUAUGCUCUACAGCACAGCUCAGCACAGCUCUCAUCAAAAAUGCUCUGGAGAAAAAUCCAGUCCCAUCAUGAAUUUUGCAGGCAAAUGAAGGAAACUAGAAAAUAUCAUCCUGAAUGAGACAGGAUCCUAGCAUAACUGUCCUCUGAGAGGCUCUACCCAGCAGCUAAUGGAAGCAGAUGCAGAGACUCACAGCUAAACAUUAGAUGGAGCUCAGGGAAUCUAAUUGGAAGAGUUGGAAGAAGGAUUGAGAGAUGUGAAGAGGACAGGGACAUCACAGAGAAACAAAAGUCAACUAACCUGGACCAUUGGGGGCUCCCAGAGACUGAAUCACCAACCAAAGAGCAAGCAUGUACUCAGCCUAGGCCCUGAUAUAUGAAGCAGAUAUGCAGUGGGUCCCCUAAUCACUGAAGCUCAGGCUGCCCCUUAAUCUGCUGCCUGUCUAUGGAACCCACUCCCCUGACUGGGCCGCCUCGUGUGGCCUCAGUGGGAGAGGAAGGGCCUAGUUCUGUGGAGACCUGAUGUCCCAGGGAGGAGUGAUGAGGGGGGCAAAAAGGAGCUCUACCUUCUCAAAGGAGGGGAGGAGAAUGGGGGAGGAGCUAUGAGAGGGGAGACAUACUGGGAUAGAAAGUGAAUAAAUAAAUUAAUUAAUGGAAAAAUCCAGUCUCA